rnacentral:rRNA from 1 species
UACGGGGGGAGCAAGCGUUGUUCGGAUUUACUGGGCGUAAAGGGCGCGUAGGCGGCCUGCUAAGUCGAACGUGAAAUCCCUGGGCUCAACCCAGGAACUGCGUCCGAUACUGGUUGGCUUGAAUCCGGGAGAGGGAUGUGGAAUUCCAGGUGUAGCGGUGAAAUGCGUAGAUAUCUGGAGGAACACCGGUGGCGAAGGCGACAUCCUGGACCGUUGUUGACGCUGAGGUGCGAAAGCGUGGGGAGCAAACAGG